GCAAAGGGGAUUAUGCUGUGUGGAAAUGAUCAUUUGGCCGUGAUGCGCUGUCAGGGAGGGUGAUCUCACAAGCAUGUAAAAAUAGAGCUGCAUAGUGCAUGUCUGCACGCUGCAGCAUGUGCUGCUAGAGUUGCACAACUGUCCUGUGCUGUUUCCAGGGGGAGUGGCUGGGUGGGUGGGAUGUGGUGGGAGAGCAGAAACAUGAGAGUGCUCAGCUGUGUGCGAAGCCGAGUGAUGUUCAGUAAACACUUGGCAUAGUUUAAUGUCUGAGGAAACACCAUUUGUGCUUUGUCGGAUGGAGGGUUUGUUUCUUGGGAAAUUACUGACUUUGUCAUGUUCUUUUGUAGAUUUUUUGUAGUGUCAUCAUGUGCUAGUGGACGUCUGGUGCUCUGAUGGGGAGUGUGGUCUCUACUUGCUCCCAGGAAAGCUCCUAAAUGGAGGCUCACACAGAGUUGCUGUAUGUUGCCCUGAACCCACCUGGAGUACCUCAGAGCCAGAGAGCCAUUAGGAAGGUCUGCCAGAAACCUUCUGUCCACACUGUACAAUCACACAAACAAGCUGAUCUUCAGCUGACUAUUGAUGAGGAUCUGCAGGGCAUAAUACUCUACGGAAGUAACUAUGAACUUUUUGUUGUUCUCCAGUCAGAAGACACUUCAUUCCUCCAUGUGGAGACAGAACUAGAUGGCUGCCUUAUAGAAUGUCCCUAAGGAGAAUGGUUUAUUGUUUUGGACACUAGCAACUAUCCUAGUAAAGAUACUAACAGUAGAUGUUUACUAUGCUUGGCAGAUUAGAACAACAAAAAUGGGCUUUGCAUCAUCCUGAAGAGCAUAGAAAAGAGGGUGCCAGCAGGAAACAUGGGAUGAAGUGCAGCUAUUCCACGUGUGGCAAACCCAGUGCCUGUUGAACACAUCAGAGAACUGGCUGUGAGUGAGAAAACCUGUUGUUGGAAACAAGUUUUCUGUGGCCUUCAGCUUUGUGUUGAGUGAGCUGGGACUUGCUGCAUGUGGGACUCUGCUGGGAGAGCUCCAAAAAGAGAAAGAACUGGAAGGAACUGUCAGCAGCUGUCCAGGGGGUGAGCUGGGGUUUGACAUGUGUGGAAAUCAGCUGGGAGUGGAGGUGAGGCCAUCUGGAAACGAUGUCCUUCGGCCAGAGUGAGUGCCUUCAACUGAGAACACUGGACAGUGGAUCCUGUCUGCAGCCUGCACAGCGGUUUCUGAAAAUAGCCAGACAAGGCAAACAAGAAGAAAAAAACCCACAUCUUACACUACUUGAAGUAAAAAAGGAGCAAAAGGGAAUGAAUAUGAAUCAAACAUUUUAUUAUUUGGCUUUAGGAUUGUCAGUAGUAGAUGCUGUUGUCCCAGCUAACACAGCCACCUUCUUGGAGAGACAAUUAAGCUACACAUUUCAAAGAUGGGUCAAAGUUUAUUCAGCUUUAGAUUUGGAAGUCACAUGGAACUCCAUCUCUGCUUUUCAGAGUAACUUAUGACAAGAAGAAUAUGGGCUUACUCAAACCAUAUUUUAAAACCUCCUGCAGAGUAAAUGGAUACUUUACCAUAAUAUGAACCAGCACCAAUAACUGUGUGGUGAACCCAUGAUCUUCAGUGGGAUCUACAACACAGCCCAAGCAAUCUAAAGUUCUGUUUAAGUCAAAGAAACGCUGGAACUCUUCAAAUGUCCCUGACCUUAUCCUCAAGCUCUAAGGACUUUAGGAAUGCCACUCCUGCACUCCUGCAGCUGCCCUGAGCCCAGGUGGUGAUGUGGUUUUUCAGAAUAACUGGUCACUGUGGAUCCCCUCAGCAGCUGCACCCCUGUGCAGUAUGCCAGCUUGCACUGAAAAAAACACCGUCAGUGGUCAACUUCUUGACCAAAACCUCUAAGAUGGGGGUAUUCAGAGAGGCUUUUUCCCACUCAAAAAAUUCAGGUGCCCUCCUGCAGAGUCGUGUCUACAAUCAAACACUACUGCUCCAUAAGCAAGCAAGGAGUCAACGAGCGCGUACAACAUGGGACAUGUGGAAACCAAAUCACAGACAAACUGACCUGAAUCCAGGAAAAGGACAAGCAGGGGGACAGUACACUAACCUGCAGUAAUGCAGUGUUUGGGAAAUUGCCACAAUAUAGAUGCAGAUGAAUGCUGCAUGACUUCAGAAAUCUGUUCUCUCUGUCAUAUCCCACCCAUAACCAGGGGCGUUGAGGCUCAGUGGGAGGGAACAAGACAACAGGCUUUCUUAUGGCAUCUUCUUGUGGCCUCUCCACUGCAUGCCACUAAAAGAAAGUUUGCCCGUUUGUGCCUGAAGGCUUGACUUUCUGCCAUAUCCCUUUCCUAUUUUCCGACAUUUUCUUUUCAGAUUCAUUGAACCAUACCUUCUUUAUUGCCUUUCUAAUGUUUCAUUAGACAGGUAUAAAGAUCUCUGGCUGUAUUCUCCUGUUCAGAAGCUGCUCAGGAUUGUUAAGCAAUAGUUCAGGCAAUACCCGAACUUCACAAAGCUUAGUGAUGAAAAUCAGAGCUUUCCUAAGCACAGCAA